CUCGAUAGCAAUAUUAUGAAAACGAUUUUCAGAACGUUCAUUUGGUCACGCUGUAUACUGUAUAUAAUUUCUGUAUAUACGGUUGUAGAUAUAUGUAAGUGGUCAUGUCUGUGUAAAUUAUUUCGUUUUCAUCACGAAGAACAGUUCUGAAUUUCUCACGUUUUGUACCUGUGAACGUUAGUUUUACAAUAGAAUAAUUGUAUUGUUACAUAGCACGGUUUAGUUAAAUAAUAUAAUACUAAAUGUAUAAAUACGCUUACCCAAUGACGGUCAAAUGAUUUUUGUCACAACGAAAUGAGACUGAUUUUUCAACAAUU